rnacentral:snRNA from 1 species
GCUUUUGUGCAGUGGCAGUUUCAUAGCCAAUGAUGUUUAUCCAAGGCAUGAUUAUUGCUAAUUAAAAACUUUUCCCGGCUCG